GUAUGGUUAAGUGACUAAGCGUACACGGUGGAUGCCUUGGCAGUCAGAGGCGAUGAAAGACGUAGUAACUUGCGAUAAGCCCAGAUUAGGUAGUAACAACCAUUUGAGUCUGGGAUUUCUGAAUGGGGAAACCCACGUGCAUAAGCACGUAUCCUUACCUGAAUACAUAGGGUAAGGAGGCGAACCGGGGGAACUGAAACAUCUAAGUACCCCGAGGAAAAGAAAUCAACCGAGAUUCCGAAAGUAGCGGCGAGCGAAAUUGGACUAGCCCUUAAGCUUUACACGCGUUAGACGAACGGUCUGGAAAGUCCGACGAUACAGGGUGAUAGUCCCGUAGUUGACGACGUGUGUUCAGUGAAAUCGAGUAGGGCGGGACACGUGAUAUCCUGUCUGAAUAUGGGGGGACCAUCCUCCAAGGCUAAAUACUACUGACUGACCGAUAGUGAACCAGUACCGUGAGGGAAAGGCGAAAAGAACCCCUGUGAGGGGAGUGAAAUAGAACCUGAAACCGUGUACGUACAAGCAGUAGGAGCAGGCUUUGUCCUGUGACUGCGUACCUUUUGUAUAAUGGGUCAGCGACUUAUAUUCAGUGGCAAGGUUAACCAUCUAGGGGAGCCGUAGGGAAACCGAGUCUUAACUGGGCGUUCAGUCUCUGGAUAUAGACCCGAAACCAGGUGAUCUAGCCAUGGGCAGGUUGAAGGUUGAGUAACAUCAACUGGAGGACCGAACCGACUAAUGUUGAAAAAUUAGCGGAUGACUUGUGGCUAGGGGUGAAAGGCCAAUCAAACCUGGAGAUAGCUGGUUCUCCCCGAAAGCUAUUUAGGUAGCGCCUCGGACGAAUACUACUGGGGGUAGAGCACUGUUAAGGCUAGGGGGUCAUCCCGACUUACCAACCCUUUGCAAACUCCGAAUACCAGUAAGUACUAUCCGGGAGACACACGGCGGGUGCUAACGUCCGUCGUGGAGAGGGAAACAACCCAGACCGCCAGCUAAGGUCCCAAAUUACUACUAAGUGGGAAACGAUGUGGGAAGGCUCAGACAGCCAGGAUGUUGGCUUAGAAGCAGCCAUCAUUUAAAGAAAGCGUAAUAGCUCACUGGUCGAGUCGGCCUGCGCGGAAGAUGUAACGGGGCUAAGUAGUAAACCGAAGCUGCGGCAAUAUACUUUUGUAUAUUGGGUAGGGGAGCGUUCUGUAAGCGGUUGAAGGUGUGUGGUAACGCAUGCUGGACGUAUCAGAAGUGCGAAUGCUGACAUGAGUAACGAUAAAGGGGGUGAAAAACCUCCUCGCCGGAAGACCAAGGGUUCCUGUCCAACGUUAAUCGGGGCAGGGUAAGUCGACCCCUAAGGCGAGGCCGAAAGGCGUAGUCGAUGGGAAACGGGUUAAUAUUCCCGUACUUCUUACAAUUGCGAUGGGGGGACGGAGAAGGCUAGGUGGGCCUGGCGACGGUUGUC
rnacentral:rRNA from 1 species